GCAGUCGAGCGGAAGAUGGGAGCUUGCUCCCUGAUGUUAGCGGCGGACGGGUGAGUAACACGUGGGUAACCUGCCUGUAAGACUGGGAUAACUCCGGGAAACCGGGGCUAAUACCGGAUGCUUGUUUGAACCGCAGGUUCAAACAUAAAAGGUGGCUUCGGCUACCACUUACAGAUGGACCCGCGGCGCAUAGCUAGUUGGUGAGGUAACGGCUCACCAAGGCAACGAUGCGUAGCCGACCUGAGAGGGUGAUCGGCCACACUGGGACUGAGACACGGCCCAGACUCCUACGGGAGGCAGCAGUAGGGAAUCUUCCGCAAUGGACGAAAGUCUGACGGAGCAACGCCGCGUGAGUGAUGAAGGUUUUCGGAUCGUAAAGCUCUGUUGUUAGGGAAGAACAAGUACCGUUCAAAUAGGGCGGUACCUUGACGGUACCUAACCAGAAAGCCACGGCUAACUACGUGCCAGCAGCCGCGGUAAUACGUAGGUGGCAAGCGUUGUCCGGAAUUAUUGGGCGUAAAGGGCUCGCAGGCGGUUCCUUAAGUCUGAUGUGAAAGCCCCCGGCUCAACCGGGGAGGGUCAUUGGAAACUGGGGAACUUGAGUGCAGAAGAGGAGAGUGGAAUUCCACGUGUAGCGGUGAAAUGCGUAGAGAUGUGGAGGAACACCAGUGGCGAACGCGACUCUCUGGUCUGUAACUGACGCUGAGGAGC
rnacentral:rRNA from 1 species